UUCUUUAGAGAUCUGGAGUAUUUGUCUAAUUAUAUGUAACUGACAGGUGGUUUAUAUUUAAACAGGAUGAGAAGGAGAUACAGAAGACAACACUUAAGCAGCAUCGCGUGUUGCGGUCAGCCACCGAGUUCAAAUAUUGCUACAAACUUGUUGAGAAUAACAAUUUGAGAUCAGCUAUUUCUACCACAGAUGAUACUGAGCUCCCAUCAAAAGAUGAGCUUAAAACAGUGCUCGAUAAAGUGAAGGACUUCUUCGGGGAUGCCAAGGAAUCGUUUGGCAAAAUGACAGCCCUAAAUUCAACAGCAACAGAGGAGUUGGAGGAAAAACCCCAAGAGAAAUCCAAGGUAAAAAGCUGAAGCUGAAAAGAAUUCACUUGACAUGUUGCGGUGGCCGGAGGAUCUGUGAGAUUGAAGAGCUUCAUAUAGUUCAAAAUCACUAUCCAGCAAAAACAAAGUGAGUUUUCACAACAGAUUUACUGCACAGUUUUGUCCAUAGAUCUUUGUGUACUAAAAAGAGUGUGUUAUCACUUCCAUCAGAAUUGAGCCUCUGCUAGGUUUUCUUUGCACAUUAAUGAAAUGUUAUAUAGUGUUUGUUGGGUUA